UGCAAAGUGUUUUAGGAAAACUUCAAUUUCUUUGUUACUCUUAUUGUGCGUAAGGUGUGAUCUAAAUUCCUCGUUCUAACUCGACGUUUUGUGCUUUUAGAUCAUGCCUCCUCGUAUAGCUAUCCCCAGAAAUGUGAAUGCUAGGAAUGCUAACGCAGCUCCUCCAGUCCCAGAUCAGGAUGUUUCGAAUGCUGAAUUGCAGAACGCUAUUAAAUUGUUGGCUCAGAGUGUGACCAACCAGAACAAUCAGCAGGCUCCAGUUUCGGCGAAUGUUAAUGUUGGGUCAGCGGCAGCUAGAGUUCAUGAUUUCGUUAGGAUGAAUCCGUUUGAGUUUUUA
rnacentral:lncRNA from 1 species